UUUACGUUUGUGAUAACAUUAUAAAAUUAUCAAUAAUCAUUGUUUUUUAUAAAGUUCUUUUUACUACACUCAUAACACCUCUUGUUUUUUUUUUCAAUUGAUUAAAUUCAGUUACCUAAGAAAUAAGUAGUUAUACUAUUACAGUACUGCAGCAGUUCAUGCUUUAUACUUUAUAGUAUAGACAUCUGUAGUUCAUCAAAACGCAUUUAAUCCUGUCAAACUUAAUUCUAUAGUUCUAUGUACUUUUAUUACAAUUUUCAAAAGUACAUCAAGUGUAUAUGACUUGUGAAAGUGAAUUUUGCUAUUUUGUUCAACAUUACCAAUUCAGUAAUUAACAUCGUCAAUUAUUGCAAUACUUUAUAAACCAAGGGAUCUGAAUGAAUAAAUUUUAUAUUCUAAAUACACCCUCACUCUGUUAGACGACUACUUGAAGACUCACAAUCUUGAAAUAGAAAUUUAUGCUUUUUUUGAUUGGUAACUGAGGGUGAAUCAAUAUUAUUAGGAUAUAAAAAAUGUUUUAGUAGCAGCUAGUCCAUAUUUCCGAGCUGUGUUUAACAGUUUUGAGGAAAGCAACAAUUCAAAUCUUGUUAAUAUGAGUUGGAUUCCACUGGUUUUAUUACUAUUUUUAGAUUAUAUAUUUAUACUGGCAAACUGGUCACCAAUGGAAAUGUACAGGUUUUGUUACCAGCUACAAAUCGCUUAUAGUUGGACUAUACAAUAUAUGUGCAGAGAUUCUACUAUCAUAAAUGGAUACUUCAAAUUAUCUUCCUAUAAAAUUGUUUUCCAACUUACAUAAUUGUACGGAGUUCUCUCAAGUUUUG